GUCGAUGAUUUCUAGGAUGAUUUGUAUGUUUCGGAUAAUGAGAAAGUGCACUAUAGGUUGGUCGACGUGGACUGGUUUUCUGAGGAGAUCUUCUCCGCCGACAAUUCUGUGACAGCAUCGACUGCAAAGAAGAAGAAAGAAGGAGACCGGAAGUCACUAACUCACCAAUUAAGCAGCUAAAUAAUGGCUGUGCACAUUGGAAAUUACGUGAAACGUCCCACAGGAAAGUUUUCUUGAAAAUUUAAGGAAACUCGUUACCGACGGGAAAUUAGACCGGAGUGCGAUGAAGUUGAAAGGGACUUGAAAAUGGGAAGCGGAAAAGUCCUAUUCCGAAAGAUCGAGGAUGGAUGUCAAUAAGUUGGCAAUUUUUUUUUCAUCCUCAAGAGAUUUCUUUGGGAAUGGUAGCUGUAAGUUGAAAAAGUUGGAAUCUUCGAAGAAACUAUAAAUUACUAUGAAUCCAUUAAUAAGGAUAUUCGCCCGGGGACCUCGAGAAGUCACGAAGAAAUUCCUUGGACGUCUGCAGAAGCGAAAGGAUUGGAGAGAAGGAAGAAAAAAAUGUCCUCACAAUAUUCAUUGUGAAAAUUCGGUAUUCGUCGACAAAUAUUGGGAGAGACAAACAUUUCUUUCAUGUCUGAAAAAUACCGAGAAAUUUAAUGGCGCAUGUCGUCGCAGAAGCUACGAGGAGAUAAUGGAAUGCAUGAUGGGGGUUGCGCUUAUCAAAAGUUCCCGAGGCUGUAUAAACUCCAAGAAUUUACAAAGGGAUAGAUUCUCAUAAGUGAACUCUCACGAUUUUGUUGAAACUUUCAUCCGUCUUUACUGGCCUUUGAAGCUGCCAUUUUAUAAUAAGUAUCUUGUAGGUACUCUGCAUUAAAUACUUAAUUCACUUGCGUUUCACGACACGUUGUGCUUUUACUGUGACAAACUUCAUGUACGUUCCGGUACUUGUGCAAAACAAAAUAGCGAUAUUAUAGCUGUUACAAUUUUUUUUUUAAUAAUUCAUGAAAAACGCCGAAUUUUAAGUGAGUGUAAAAAUACGACGUACGGUCUAAAAAUAUAUUAAUAUCAUCCAAAAAUAAAAAAUGUCGUGCAUAAGAAAUGGCUAUUCGGUCGCGUCCGUCGGGUGAAAAAUGUUCUGAAAUAUAUGUACGAUGAAAAGUAGCAAUUGAAUUGAGGAUACUAUAAACGAUUUCCGGUCAAUUCAAUCGCGACCUGUCAUCAAAUGUAACUCUGACGUCAUUCUAUUCGUUUAUUAUGAACGUAAUAAGAGAGUCAUAAAUCUCACGUUACUCAUUACUGUAUAUACGCAUAUGUGCAUAUAGUGUUAUCGGACUUUGUGAUAUUUUAAAUCCAAUCGAAAUGCGAUAGCAACCCCUGCACGAUAGCCUACAUGUAUACAUAGUGUAGACAAAAAAUCAAGCAGCAUCCCUUGAGGAUCAUAUUUAUUACUUUAUGGUUAGAAGAGUUUAAUAACAAAAUUCGCGAGAUAAGAAGGUUCUAAAUUAAUAUCUGUAUUUCUAACACGUGGCUCAUCAUUGCCAGAUGUCAGUGACGUGUGGGUAAUACUGCAACAGGCAAAUCGAGUACUGAUUGCAUAAUAGAAAAUCAUAUAAUAAUCGUAAUUCGAAUAAAGUACGAAAAUGUUGGCUCGUCCGGAAUUUUGAAUCUUGUUCUGUUUUUUAUUGAGAGAUCAGGAAGUAAUUCUGCCUUAGCCACUCAACCAAAAGAAGCGUAGUACUUUAACUUCAAAUAAAAAUUUCUCAGAUAAGUUUCAUGAAAUUGCCUCAAUAAUCAUGCAUGGUUUCCUCCGAAAAAGUUUGUUUGCUUUUCCGCUAUAAAAAAGCAGCAGUAGCCUGAUUCUUGAAAUUGCCAUUAAGUCGGAUUUUUUGUAAGUUUAAUAUUUCACUGCGAUAGGGGUUAACCGUAUAGGAAUUUAAGCUCGAUGAUAAUAGCCAAUAGGAUGGCAUGGAAAUGGGCGAUAAGAAUAUAUAUCAUCUAGUCCUAAAUUAUAUCUAUAGUUGCUAUUUAUCAGAUUAGAGCAAUAUAAUGCACCCCUAAAUCGUUCUCCAUUAUCUCAUGCGAUUUACGUUAUAGCACUACUCUGCUACAUGUUUACAGAUAAUAUCCUGCUGCAGACUGGCCUGAGAACAUACAAGCUGCAGUAUUUCCAUGAUUUCUGUAUAUUUUUAGAUCCAAUGAAAAUAUAUGGGUGACUUCUAAAUCACAUCUCAGCCUGAUGCCUGCAUUUGAAUAUGUCGAUAUCAGAAAUUCUAUCUUGACUCACAUUUGCGUAGUGCAGCUUGAGUGCAUUAAAAGGUACUUGGCAAUGUAUCCAGGUCUGGCCGAAUAAAUGAAGAUUAAAAAUUUUGAGAAUUUAAACUGCCUGAUGGUUUUAGGUGACAUUAUCCAAGCUCCCAUAGCCAUUUUGAAUAAUUGUCCAAAAUCGAGUGGCUGUCACGUGAUGGAACACGAGGGUGAUUUUCAACCGAAAAUAAACUAUCCGAAUGACCCGUUAGCGAUUACGGACCGGUUCUACGUGGUCGAUUGAAACAAGGUCUCCACGAUAAAUCUGAAAUUGAUGGGAUUCAAAAGUGCUAAUUAGAUAUUCAGGAAUCCGAAAUGAUGAAACUCAACGCUGGACCAUUUGCAUACAUAGACAAGUUCAGGAUCCGGUAGUCACCGGAUAACGGAGACUCAUGAAGAGUUUUGAUCUCUUACGUUUCAUAUUAAUAAUGCAAUACUGUCAGGACUUAUCAAGGUAUAAAUAUGCAUAUGACAAGUUUCGUAUUAUUGGAUCACUAAGUAUGAAACGUAACCUUACUUCAAGUACUUCCAGUACGAAUUUGGACAUUUCAUACUUGAUAACCUAUUUUACCUAUUAAUAAACCUUCAACGAGAUUCGUGUGUUCCUAUUAUGUAGAAAUAUUCACUUACCAAGCAUUCGUAUAACGUUUCGCUGAGCUGCACCUUUUCCUCUGGAGCUGUCACCGUGAUUUAGACUGUUGGAUAUGGAGGUUCUCUUGACAGCCGUGAGCAACCUUGAGCUCCUCAACUU